UACGUACUCCCUCCGUCCGGAAAUACUUGUCAUCAAAAUGAAUAAAAAGGGAUGUAUCUAGAUGUAUAUUAGUUCUAGAUACAUCCUUUUUUAUCCAUUUUUAUGACAAGUAUUUUCGGACGGAGGGAGUAAUUU
rnacentral:pre_miRNA from 1 species